rnacentral:rRNA from 1 species
UGGGGGAUAUUGCACAAUGGAGGAAACUCUGAUGCAGCAACGCCGCGUGAGGGAAGAAGGUCUUCGGAUUGUAAACCUCAGUAGUCAGGGACGAAAGAAAUGACGGUACCUGAAGAGUAAGCUCCGGCUAACUACGUGCCAGCAGCCGCGGUAAUACGUAGGGAGCGAGCGUUGUCCGGAUUUACUGGGGGUAAAGGGUGCGUAGGCGGGAUAGCAAGUCAGACGUGAAAUACCGAGGCUUAACUUCGGGGCUGCGUUUGAAACUGUUAUUCUUGAGUGAAGUAGAGGCAGGCGGAAUUCCUAGUGUAGCGGUGAAAUGCGUAGAUAUUAGGAGGAACACCAGUGGCGAAGGCGGCCUGCUGGGCUUUAACUGACGCUGAGGCACGAAAGCAUGGGGAGCAAACA